rnacentral:rRNA from 1 species
GAUGAACGCUGGCGGCGUGCCUAAUACAUGCAAGUCGAGCGAACAGACGAGGAGCUUGCUCCUCUGACGUUAGCGGCGGACGGGUGAGUAACACGUGGAUAACCUACCUAUAAGACUGGGAUAACUUCGGGAAACCGGAGCUAAUACCGGAUAAUAUAUUGAACCGCAUGGUUCAAUAGUGAAAGACGGUUUUGCUGUCACUUAUAGAUGGAUCCGCGCCGCAUUAGCUAGUUGGUAAGGUAACGGCUUACCAAGGCAACGAUGCGUAGCCGACCUGAGAGGGUGAUCGGCCACACUGGAACUGAGACACGGUCCAGACUCCUACGGGAGGCAGCAGUAGGGAAUCUUCCGCAAUGGGCGAAAGCUUGACGGAGCAACGCCGCGUGAGUGAUGAAGGUCUUCGGAUCGUAAAACUCUGUUAUUAGGGAAGAACAAAUGUGUAAGUAACUAUGCACGUCUUGACGGUACCUAAUCAGAAAGCCACGGCUAACUACGAG